UACAGGGGGUGCAAACGUUGCUCGGAAUUAUUGGGCGUAAAGCGCGCGUAGGCGGCCGCUUAAGUCGGAUGUGAAAGCCCCUGGCUCAACUGGGGAAGUGCACCCGAAACUGAGUGGCUUGAGUACUAAAGAGGGUCGCGGAAUUCCCGGUGUAGUGGUGAAAUGCGUAGAGAUCGGGAGGAACACCUGUGGCGAAGGCGGCCCCCUGGGCCGGCCCUGACACUGAGACGCGAAGGCGUGGGGAGCGAACAGG
rnacentral:rRNA from 1 species